rnacentral:rRNA from 1 species
AUGGAGAUGGUGGAGAAGCUUGCUCUCACCACAAGACCACAUCCACAUCCUUACUACAUCCAAUGGUUCAACAACAGCGGCAAGGUUAAGGUAACAGGUACUGUUCGUGUGCAUUUUAGUAUCUCUACAUAUGCUGAUUAUGUUGAUUGUGAUGUGGUACCUAUGCAAGCAUGUUCCUUAUUACUUGGUAGACCAUGGCAAUUUGAUAAAAAUUCUGUACACCAUGGUAGAAACAAUCACUAUACUCUUGUUCAUAAGGAUAAAAAUAUUACUUUGCUUCCUAUGACUCCUGAUUCCAUUUUGAAAGAUGAUAUUAAUAGAGCUAAUAAAGGACAACAGGAGAAGAAUAAGAGUGAAAAUCAGAUUGUGGCAAAAGAAUUUGAGCAACAAAUGAAGCCUAAUAAUAAACCAUCUAGUGUUGCUUCUGAAAUUAAAUUGAAAAGUGCAUGUUUAUUUGCCACCAAAUCUGAUAUUGAUGAGCUAGAUUUCAGCAAAUCUGUUUGCUAUGCUUUUGUGUGCAAAGAGGCAUUAUUUUCAUUCGAGGACGUGCCUUCCUCUUUGCCUCCUGCUGUCACUAACAUUUUGCAGGAGUUCGCUGACGUUUUUCCACAAGACGUGCCACCGGGAUUACCGCCUAUUCGAGGGAUUGAGCAUCAGAUUGACUUAAUUCCCGGUGCUUCACUGCCAAACCGUGCACCAUACCGUACCAAUCCAGAGGAGACGAAGGAGAUUAUGCGUCAAGUACAAGAGCUUCUCGACAAAGGUUAUAUACGCGAAUCCCUUAGUCCUUGUGCUGUUCCUAUUAUUCUAGUGCCGAAAAAGGAUGGUACAUCACGUAUGUGCGUUGAUUGUAGAGCCAUUAAUAAUAUUACUAUUCGUUAUCGUCAUCCUAUUCCUAGGCUAGAUGAUAUGCUUGAUGAAUUGAGUGGCUCUACAAUAUUCUCCAAAGUUGAUUUGCGUAGUGGCUACCAUCAAAUUCGUAUGAAAUUGGGAGAUGAAUGGAAAACAGCAUUUAAAACUAAGUUUGGAUUAUAUGAGUGGUUAGUCAUGCCUUUUGGGUUAACUAAUGCACCUAGUACUUUCAUGAGAUUAAUGAACGAAGUUUUACGUGCUUUCAUUGGACGAUUUGUGGUAGUUUACUUUGAUGACAUAUUGAUUUAUAGCAGAUCUUUGGAGGAACAUUUGGAACAUUUACGUGCUGUUUUUAUUGCUCUACGUGAUGCACGUUUGUUUGGUAACCUUGGGAAGUGCACCUUUUGCACCGACCGAGUAUCUUUUCUUGGCUAUGUUGUUACUCCACGGGGAAUUGAAGUUGAUAAAGCCAAGAUUGAAGCUAUUGAGAGUUGGCCGCAGCCCAAAACGGUCACACAAGUGAGGAGUUUUCUUGGCCUCGUUGGAUUCUAUAGGCGUUUUGUGAGAGAUUUCAGCACCAUUGCUGCACCUCUCAAUGAGCUUACAAAGAAAGAUGUGCCUUUUCUUUGGGGUACCGCACAGGAAGAAGCCUUCACGGUAUUGAAAGAUAAGUUGACACAUGCUCCUUUACUCCAACUUCCUGAUUUUAAUCAGACUUUUGAGCUUGAAUGUGAUGCUAGUGGAAUUGGAUUAGGAGGUGUGUUAUUACAAGAUGGCAAACCUGUUGCAUACUUUUCCGAAAAAUUGAGUGGGCCUAGUCUGAAUUAUUCUACUUAUGAUAAAGAAUUAUAUGCUCUUGUUCGGACUUUAGAAACAUGGCAACAUUAUUUAUGGCCCAAAGAAUUUGUUAUACAUUCUGAUCAUGAAUCUUUGAAACAUAUUAAAAGUCAAGCUAAACUGAAUCGUAGACAUGCUAAAUGGGUUGAAUUCAUUGAGACUUUCCCUUAUGUCAUUAAACACAAGAAGGGAAAAGAAAAUGUUAUUGCUGAUGCAUUGUCUCGUCGCUAUACUAUGCUUUCACAACUUGACUUCAAAAUAUUUGGUUUGGAGACCAUCAAAGAUCAAUAUGUGCAUGAUGCUGAUUUUAAAGAUGUAAUGCAGAAUUGUAAAGAAGGAAGAAUGUGGAACAAGUUUGUCGUUAACGAUGGAUUUGUGUUUCGUGCUAACAAGCUAUGCAUUCCAGCUAGCUCCGUUCGUCUUUGGUUGUUGCAGGAGGCGCAUGGAGGAGGAUUAAUGGGACACUUUGGCGUGAAGAAGACGGAGGACGUACUUGCUACACAUUUCUUUUGGCCAAAGAUGAGACGGGAUGUUGAGCGUUUUAUUGCUCGAUGCACUACAUGUCAAAAAGCUAAGUCACGACUCAAUCCUCAUGGUUUAUAUAUGCCUUUGCCUGUACCUAGUGUUCCUUGGGAGGAUAUAUCUAUGGACUUUGUUUUAGGUUUACCUCGAACAAAGAAGGGGAGGGAUAGCAUAUUUGUUGUCGUGGAUAGAUUCUCGAAAAUGGCACACUUUAUACCAUGUCAUAAAAGCGAUGAUGCUGUUAAUGUUGCUGAUUUGUUCUAUCGUGAAAUUAAUCGUGAUACUAAAUUUCUUAGCCACUUUUGGAGAUGUUUAUGGGCUAAGUUGGGGACUAAACUGCUUUUUAGUACUACUUGUCACCCCCAAACUGAUGGACAAACUGAAGUAGUCAAUAGAACGUUGUCUACUAUGCUUAGGGCUGUUUUGAAGAAUAAUAAGAAAAUGUGGGAGGAAUGCUUGCCUCAUAUUGAAUUUGCUUAUAAUCGUUCAUUGCAUUCUACUACUAAGAUGUGCCCUUUUGAAGUUGUGUAUUGUUUCCUACCUCGUGCACCUAUUGAUUUGUUGCCUCUUCCAUCUUCGGAGAAGGUUAAUUUUGAUGCUAAACAACGUGCUGAAUUGAUUUUAAAAAUGCAUGAGUUAACUAAGGAAAACAUUGAGCGCAUGAAUGCUAAAUAUAAACUUGCUGGAGAUAAGGGUAGAAAACAUGUUGUGUUUGCACCUGGAGAUCUUGUUUGGUUACAUUUGCGUAAGGAUAGAUUUCCUGAUUUGCGCAAAUCAAAGUUAAUGCCACGUGCUGAUGGUCCCUUUAAGGUGUUAGAGAAAAUAAAUGAUAAUGCAUAUAAACUUGAGCUGACUGCAGAUUUUGGGGUUAGUCCCACUUUUAACAUUGCAGAUUUGAAGCCUUAUUUGGGUGAGGAAGAUGAACUUCCGUCGAGGACGACUUCAUUUCAAGAAGGGGAGGAUGAUGAGGACAUCAAUACAAUUGUUACACCCACAGCCCCUGCUGCUAUACAUACUGGACCAAUUACUAGAGCUCGAAACAGACCUUCGUGGUCAGGUUGA